rnacentral:tRNA from 1 species
GCGGACGUGGCGGAACUGGUAGACGCACUGGAUUUAGGUUCCAGCGGCUAACGUCGUGGGGGUUCAAGUCCCUCCGCCCGCACCA